CUCUUCUCACCUUGUCAGGGCCUUUUUCCCAUAUCCCAAGUGAAUACUCUGACUUGGUGUUGCAGGCACUAGUCUGGGAAAUCUCUCACUCAGUUCCCCCUCUUCUCUCUAGCUCCCUUCCCUAGUAGUUUUUAGCUUCCUUUGGCCAGACAAUUAUUUUCAGCAGCUGGCCCACUCCUCCUAGUGGAGCUGCAAUCAAGUCAGUUCCCAUAGCUCCUGAUACAUACAGCCCACCACCCUGGGCUAUAGCCCUUACAGACGUAGUGCCUGCUACAUGAAGGAAGAGCUUUUCCGCUUCAGGUCUUUAAGAGGAGCUAAUCUCUUCUGAUUCUUUUAAGACAAAGGUUCACCACCUCUCAAUUCUUUUUCUUGGGAAAAGGAAUCAGUGCCUGAUUGAACUACCCCUAGGCCCUCAUCUUACUAAAGUGACUCUUUCAAACACAUUAAAUGCAUUAAGAAGGUGGAUGAACAAUGGAAAGAAAUACAAGAGAAGAAAAAAUGCCACAUACAUGAUUUUCUGGAUUUAUAAAUCAACAAUCAGUCAGAGGGACAAAAUGCCAGAAAUUGGGACCUGGAAAAGGACAUACAUGUUACUUUACCUCAAAUGGAUUUUCCUUUUCUGCUCUUCUGUUUCAUUGUGCCACAGAACUGUCACUGGUUUCAUUUCUGAAAACUUCAGGUCAUGGUUUCUAAUUCUGUCAUGCAAGUUGACAUCAUAUCAAGGGUGUGAGAACUAAGCCACUGAUACAUUAAAGCCUAAUUAUCGUACUGUAAAUAUCUAAGUAUGAAUUUUGUUCCCGCCAACAACUGUACUCUGUUAGUAUUGAUAAGCAAGUGAAGCAUAAAUAGUUGAGGCUUCUAAUAUGGUAGUUAUACCCUGAAAGAACAAGAAACACUUACAAAUUUUGCAAAAAAAUCUGUUCUUGUUGUUUUCCAUUGCCAGUGGGAUACCAUGAUCUUUGUCUAAGAACUUCAUUUAAAUCUCUGGCUACGUGCUCCACAUUUCAGUAUC